GCAAGUUCUACGACCCAAGGUAUCGCGACGAUAACCAGAUGUGCCAUCCAGGGCAUCUCCAGGAAUGGUUCGCCUCAAGGAAUCAUUGGUGCCCUGUUGCCCCUGCUUCUGAUACCGGCCAGUCGUGACAUUCCGAACAUGUCAUCUGGGCUAAGCCUUCCUUUUCUGGGCGGCCUGAACCUUGGCGCUUUGAACCUCGGUGGCCUCAACACGGGCGGGCUGAGCAUGGCUUCCCUCAUCAGGAACGACUCCUGCAAUGGCUCCAUCAACAUCGGCCUGCCUGCCAUGGGUAACAUUGGCAACUGCUCUGGAGACAUGAUGAUGAUGUGCACGGCUGGAUCGUCGACCACG
rnacentral:lncRNA from 1 species